GACGAAGGGGGCAAGCGUUAUCCGGAGUUACUGGGUUUAAAGGGUGCGUAGGCGGCUUAGUAAGUCAGGGGUGAAAGGUCACGGCUCAACCGUGGAAUUGCCUUUGAUACUGCUGGGCUUGAAUCAGGAUGAGGUUGGCAGAAUGUGGCAUGUAGCGGUGAAAUGCAUAGAUAUGCCAUAGAACACCGAUUGCGAAGGCAGCUGGCUAGACCUGGAUUGACGCUGAGGCACGACAGCGUGGGGAGCGAACCGG
rnacentral:rRNA from 1 species